GAUAUUGCACAAUGGGCGCAAGCCUGAUGCAGCCAUGCCGCGUGUGUGAAGAAGGCCUUCGGGUUGUAAAGCACUUUCAGUCAGGAGGAAAGGUUAGUAGUUAAUACCUGCUAGCUGUGACGUUACUGACAGAAGAAGCACCGGCUAACUCCGUGCCAGCAGCCGCGGUAAUACGGAGGGUGCGAGCGUUAAUCGGAAUUACUGGGCGUAAAGCGUACGCAGGCGGUUUGUUAAGCGAGAUGUGAAAGCCCCGGGCUCAACCUGGGAACUGCAUUUCGAACUGGCAAACUAGAGUGUGAUAGAGGGUGGUAGAAUUUCAGGUGUAGCGGUGAAAUGCGUAGAGAUCUGAAGGAAUACCGAUGGCGAAGGCAGCCACCUGGGUCAACACUGACGCUCAUGUACGAAAGCGUGGGGAGCAAACGGGAUUAGAUACCCCGGUAGUCCACGCCGUAAACGAUGUCUACUAGAAGCUCGGAGCCUCGGUUCUGUUUUUCAAAGCUAACGCAUUAAGUAGACCGCCUGGGGAGUACGGCCGCAAGGUUAAAACUCAAAUGAAUUGACGGGGGCCCCGCACAAGAAUC
rnacentral:rRNA from 1 species